GCCCUAUUCUAAUCUCUCCCAGCAGAAUGCCCUAAUCUCUUCCAGCAGAAAUCAACGGAUCAAUUUCGAUUUUGAUUUCGAUUCAUCUGAAUCCUUACGCCUUCUCUGAUUUCGAUUUCAUCUGAAUCUCUGAUUUUGAUUUCGAUCUCGAAGCUCCACCGCCGCCACCAUCUACACCAACGAGGUAGAGAUUCAGAUCGAUCUCAGUGAUUUCAUCUCAGAGCGGUUUCGAUUUCGAAGCUCCAAAACACCAUCUGCACCAUCGUCUACUAAGAACCAGGAUUGGCUCAUGGUCUGGGCUGUGAUGUGGAUGCUUUUCAAUAUGAUCAAGUUUCGUAAGCCUUGCACGACUUGAGAUAACAUGAUGGUAGCAAAGCAAAGCAACAACUUUGAUCCUCGUGCUGCUGCUGCUAAUUUCCCUUCAGGUGUGCAAGCAUAUUUGGCUGGGCUUACAUUCGCAUUAGCCGUUUCACCUUGCAGCACUGCUGUGCUGGCAACCCUGCUUGGAUAUGUAGCUGCAUCCAAGGGUGAUGCUUGAUGGUGGUAGACUCUCCAUUAGCAGGGCCUUGAAGAUAAAGCUUGGCGAACAAAGCAAAGUAGUGUUCAACUUCUUGGUGCUAUGGCUUACUGCGCUCCACAGCAACUUUCUCAAUGCCUUCCUAAGAUUGUGCCAAAAUUGACAGAGGUGCUAACAGACACCCAUCCUAAAGUUCAGUCAGCGGGGCAAACAGCCCUUCAGCAGGUUGGGAAUGUGAUUAAAAAUCCAGAAAUUGCUGCUCUUGUCCCAACACUUCUAAUGGGCCUUACAGACCCCAAUGACUACACGAAGCAUUCCCUUGAUAUUCUUCUCCAAACAACAUUUAUCAAUUCGAUUGAUGCUCCUUCACUCGCACUGUUGGUACCAAUAGUUCAUAGAGGGCUAAGAGAGAGGAGUGCUGAAACUAAAAAGAAAGCUGCCCAGAUAGUUGGAAACAUGUGCUCUUGAGUGACUGAACCGAAGGAUAUGAUUCCUUACAUAGGUUUACUCCUUCCUGAAGUAAAAAAGGUUCUUGUGGAUCCAAUCCCUGAAGUUCGGUCUGUUGCUGCAAGGGCCCUUGGUUCUCUCAUAAGAGGAAUGGGAGAAGAAAACUUCCCAGAUCUUGUUUCAUGGUUGUUAGAGACACUCAAGUCUGAUGGUAGUAACGUUGAACGCUCUGGAGCUGCUCAAGGACUAAGUGAGGUUAGAGUUUACUAUUUGU